GCACUAGCUGUUAGCAUUCUAGAACUCUUCUUUCCCUUGAGUUUCUGCUGCUAUUCACUUUGGAACACUUCCAUCAUCUAUUUUCACCCCCCAAAUAACUCCCUGUUGUUGAAGAAAGUCACUUAACUUUGAUGACUCUAUCUCACACGGAGGCAGUCAUUCAUUCAUUCACCGUGCCUUGUUCUAGGCACCGGAGAGGGAGAAGAGAACACACAGACAAAAAUCCCUGCCCAAGCUCCCAUUUCUGGAGGGGCAUGGAUCAUAAACAAGACAGCAAAGUCAAAUAUACAGCACAGCGGAGAGCCUAAGCCCUAAGGAGAAGAAUGAAGUUGGGGCAGGAAGAGGGGUAGAGAUGGCUGGAGAAGGAGGGGCCGUGGUAGGUGGACUGUCCCGGGAAGGCCUUACUGCGAAAGCUAAAGAGCUGGAGGAGGUUUCUGCCAAGCGGAAGAACAUGAAAAAUAAUCUGGGCCCAAUGCAACCACUUUUUUUGAAAUUCUGUGUUUGUUUAUAGAGGAAAAGCAAUAACAGAUCACUGUCAAAAUGCAAUUGGUUUGGGCUCUUACAUAUCUUCCUGGAGAACGAUUCGUUCACUAUUCCCGGAAUCUGACAAAAGCUGUCAACUCUCCAGAAAAACAUGGGCCUGCACUCACGAAGGACGACAUGUAAUUUGGAGAUGUAGCAGUUCCAUCGGAACACUGAUGAAGUCCCACCACUCACCCAAAGCUUGGCUGCCUUCUAUGACACCCAAACAAGAAGCUGUCCACUUUAGAUCGAUCAAGUCACGGCCCAACGUUGGUGCUUCAAACCCGAGACCAGAAGGCUGUCUCAGUCUGCUGCUCACCUCAGGAGCUCCUGCAAGGCUUUGCUUCUCAUCCUUCACUUUAAAUCUUGGCUUUUGCUUCUCUUCCUUUGUCUUUGGAUAAGGAUUCUCUCCUGCAUGUCUGUUUCUUUUGGAUGUAUUUGUUUUCCUUUUCUUCUCCUUUGGACGAUGUUCUGGGCUUUCUGAUUGUGAUUCCCAUUGAGACGCUGCCUACAGAUGUAAUUCCUUUGGAGGAGGAUGCCAGGUGUCUCACCCCAUCCAGCCUGAGGUUCCUCACUCACAUAUGGGUGAUGGGACAUGCACUGACUGAGAGCUCGUGGCUGCAGAGGGUGCCAACACUGUCUUGAGGCUGCUCUCUUAUUUCCUGCUCAUGUUGAACCCAAAUCUGUCCUUUUGUAGCUUCUGUCCCAUUGUGUUUGUAGCUCCCACCUCUCGGGGCCACAUGGAGCAAGCGCCAGACCACAAACUGUGGUGGAGUGGGGACAUGUUUACUUAGUCUAUGUUCUCCUGGCAGCUUCCCCUCCAGAACUGGGCAGGGGCCCACCCAAGUCGUACCCGAGAGUUCUCCCACCCAGUUCUUUCUGAUGAAAGUACUCAAGCCUCUAGGCCAGGAAAAACAUUACUCUUUUUAGCUGGUGGGUCUGCAUUCCCUUUUGUCUGCUGAAGCCGAUGCUUCCAGAAUGGGAGCUCGGUUUGAAGAUGGUGUCUUAGUUCCUGGUGAGCUACCUGCACGCUGUAUUGGUGGGUGGAAGAAACUGGAGCUAUAAGCUUAUGGGGUCGGUCUGCUCCUCAUGAAGAGGCUUCAUUUUCACUUUAAAGGGCGGAUCAAAUAGACUUUUCAGCACACGCUCUUCUCUUUGAAGCCCUGGUUUGUUUCGCAAUCAGUAGAUAAGUGAUGGGCCCUGGGUGCUACCAGCAUUAUUGCAGCCUCUUGCUCUCUGUUUCCCAGAAACGUUGUCUUGGUGCCAGUGGCAGGAGCUUUCUGAGUGUCUGCAAUGUGGUGCUGCUGAGCCACCCUGGCAGGGAAGCGACGGGUAGUGCCUUUUCAAGUGGUCCUCUCACCUGAGCAGGAGAGAGCGCUCAGGCGCAGGCGAGGCCGUGUGCACGGACAUCCUUCUCUGUCUGCGCUAAACCCAGGAUAUCAGCUUGUGGACUGUAAUUAACGUGCUUUUGGAGCCCUUUGAGCACAGAAGCAGGAUUGACAUGGUGCAGACAUGGCAGCCCAGAGGCGUGUUAUGCUUCGUAUGGGAGUCAGUGUCUCUCUAAGAACCACCAGGUGCCAACCUCACAGAGGAGGAGGUCUGAGGCAGGAAGCAACCCCAGGAACUGGAAGUGGAACUAGAUGAGGUUCCCUCACUGCAGUCCCCACAGGGAACAGGGGGAAGGGAAGGUGACGCUGCAGGGAGAGAGUCUGGGCAGUGGUGACACCUGGAAAAGGAGUCUGGUGGGGCCACACAGAAACAUUAGUACUGAACAGCUGCGAGGGAAAACACAGCACAACACUGACUGACCAAGUACUCUGCAGUCACCUUGUGGGACACGCGAGGCUUACCUAAAACAAGUACCCUGCAGUCACCUUGUGGGACACGCGAGGCUUACCUAAAACAAGUACCCCGCAGUCACCUUGUGGGACAUGUGUGGCUUACCUAAAACAAGUACCCCGCAGUUACCUUGUGGGACAUGCGAGGCUUACCUAAAACAAGUACCCCGCAGUCACCUUGUGGGACGGGUGAGGCUUACCUAAAACAAGUACCCUGCAGUCACCUUGUGGGACACGCGAGGCUUACCUAAAACAAGUACCCCGCAGUCACCUUGUGGGACAUGUGUGGCUUACCUAAAACAAGUACCCCGCAGUCACCUUGUGGGAUGGGUGAGGCUUACCUAAACCAAGUACCCCGCAGUCACCUUGUGGGAUGGGUGAGGCUUACCUAAACCAAGUACCCUGCAGUCACCUUGUGGGACAGGUCAAGCUUUACCUAAAACAAGUACCCUGCAGUCACUUUGUGAGACAUGCAAGGAUUACCUAAACCAAGUACUCUGUAGUCACUGUACUGGACAGGUAAUGCUCACAUAAAUGUGGUCAGAAUUUUAGUUCAAUGCAAGUUAUUAAUGUUUUUUCAGAUCCUAACUACUCUCUGAUUUUGCCCCAUAUAAAAGUAGGACAGAUGCUGAAGGAGGUCCCAUCAGGGAGAUUCCAGCUCAGGCCCUCUCUAAGGUGGCCACCAAGGCGAUUUGCAGGGAGGGUAGAGCAGCCCUGGCGGCAGCCUCCUCAUAACCAGCUCUUCUCUCGCUCUUAGUGGCUGGGCUCCUGACCCCGCCCACGUCCCAAGGCAAUCCCAGACUUAGGAUGCAGGUUAGCAGUCUCCAGCACAUUCCUUUCUUCUUUCCUUCUGUCCUCUACAAGAACUUAGUGAGCACCUCCUGGGUGUCAGGGAUCGCGUUUGGUAUUAGUGCUUCAGAGGAGGAACACAGAUGCAUCUCUGCCGCCACGGGGCUUACGCCUGGGCAAAGAUGGGGUCAGAAUCACGAACCACGUGACGCCUGUCCACCAACAGUGACUUUGAACGCAGAAGGGCUCACAGGAGACCUUGCCUGUUCCUGCACCGUCAGCAUCCUCGUAGCCGACGACGGAACGCAGACACGACUCUCCAGCUGAACGUAACCACCUUUCAGAUCUCAGGCUUCACAAAGGCAGGCUGCAGUCCCCAGAAGAAGGCCUGGCACACAGUAGGUGAUUUGCACAUCAGUGGAACGAAUGAAGCAACCUGGGUUAUGGAGGAGCAGAACCCGCCAGAAGUCAGCACUUAAUGGAGAGCUGUUGAAUGAAGGCAUGACUCUAAACCAAGGGGAUCAGAUGACGGUCAGGCAUAUCUACAAGGAUUCAGGCCGGAAGGAUGGAUCACUCUUCUACACACCAGGGAUGUUUCUGCCUGUUACAAGAGGACCCUCCAUCAUGGGCAUCUGCGGAAACUGGCAAAUUCUUCCUUCAGGGUCUCCUUUCCCUCUCUGCACACAGAUCCCUGCUCUGUGCUCUCCGUGGCUCUGUCUCCCACUGUCAAGGUCAAGUCAAGUGGUGGAUGAUCCUUCAUUGAUUUGUUUAACAAGUUACACAUCAGUUGUUUGCUUGAUGUCAGCCCCAACCACCUUAUUAAAUAUGAGAAAUGUCCUAAACUAAUUUAAAUAAACGUUCUUUUUAGGGUGGCUUUUUCAUUUCUCACUUCAGAGGAUAAGAAGUUUCUGACUUGCCUUCACAUUCUGGAACAUUUUUAUUUGCAGUUUUAUAUUCACUCACAAUAGAUAGUCUCGUGUUUUUGGUGAACAGUUAUUUAUUUGUGCAGAGGUUCUUUGAUAAGAUUUACUCAUGGUAGACAUACAGAAAGGGACCAGGUUAGAGGAAUUGUAAGGUGGGGUGAGAGUUGACAACGCAUAUUCCAUGCCGAUUAUACGCAUGUGUGUUUAUACACAGUGAGAUUUCUCCCUCGUCUGAAAUACAGACAGGGAAACACCUUAAAGUGAUGUAACCCCCUUAUCUUGUUGGUUCUCGUGGAGUUGGGCCUUUCUCAUAACCUUCAUAUAUUUGAAAACACUUAAUAAAGCCUGACACCAUGGUCCGUUUUCUUGUCCUCUUCACUGUGUAAAUUCACCUAAAAGACUUGGAGAAAAUAAAACAAUCUGAAGAGGAACUUCUCUAAGAAAAGAAAACUUUCAUUGCUGAGAAAUUGAUAAGAUCUUUAAAAC
ensembl:lncRNA